rnacentral:tRNA from 1 species
GCGGGUUUAGCUCAGUGGCAUAAGCGCCUGCCUUGAAAGCAGGCAGUCGUGAGUUCGAUCCUCGGUACCGAUA